GAUGAACGCUGGCGGCGUGCUUAACACAUGCAAGUCGAACGAUGAAGCCCAGCUUUUUGGGUGGAGUAGUGGCGAACGGGUGAGUAACACGUGAGUAACCUGCCCUUGACUCUGGGAUAAGCCUGGUAAACUGGGUCGAAUACUUGAUAUGACUUCUCAUCGCAUGGUGGGGGGUGGAAUGAUUGAUUGGUCUUGGAUGGACUCGCGGGUUAUCAGCGUGUUGGUGAGUUAUUGGCGCAGCAAGGCGACGACGGGUAGCCGGCCGGAGAGGGUGACCGGCCACACUGGGACUGAGACACGGACCAGACGCGUACGGGAGGCAGCAGUGGGGAAUAUUGCACAGUGGGCGCGCGCCUGAUGCGGCGACGCCGCGUGAGUGAUGACGGCCUUCGGGUUGUGAACCUCUUUCAGUAGGGAUGAAGCGGGAGUGACGGUACCUGCAGAAGAAGCGCCGGCUAACUACGUG
rnacentral:rRNA from 1 species